CUCUUUGCUCAGCGCCCCUUCAGCGAAGCGGGAGGAGAAGCGGAGCCCCUUCCAUUUCUCCUCCCGCUUCGCUGAAGGGGCGCUGCGCAAA